CCUACGGGUGGCAGCAGUGAGGAAUAUUGGUCAAUGGACGAGAGUCUGAACCAGCCAAGUAGCGUGAAGGAUGACUGCCCUAUGGGUUGUAAACUUCUUUUAUAUGGGAAUAAAAUGUUCCACGUGUGGGAUUUUGUAUGUACCAUAUGAAUAAGGAUCGGCUAACUCCGUGCCAGCAGCCGCGGUAAUAUGGAGGAUCCGAGCGUUAUCCGGAUUUAUUGGGUUUAAAGGGAGCGUAGGUGGAUUGUUAAGUCAGUUGUGAAAGUUUGCGGCUCAACCGUAAAAUUGCAGUUGAAACUGGCAGUCUUGAGUACAGUAGAGGUGGGCGGAAUUCGUGGUGUAGCGGUGAAAUGCUUAGAUAUCACGAAGAACUCCGAUUGCGAAGGCAGUUCACUGGACUGCAACUGACACUGAGGCUCGAAAGUGUGGGUAUCAAACAGGAUUAGAUACCCUUGUAGUC
rnacentral:rRNA from 1 species